UAUACGCUAGCCGACGACGGGAAGUCUGAAAGUGCCGGCGCGUGCUAUCUCGUCGCUCGCCUGUAUCGACGGCAGGUGAGAAAUGCAUUUCCUAUGCUGUAUCAUCGACACGGAGUCAUGACGAAGACCUCCCGGCGGAAGCCAAGAGCUACGCUGUAAUCCACCCUCUUCUUUCUGACGUGUUCACCCGCGCAUUUUCCUGUUCCCACCAUGCAAUAUCUCGGAAACAGCUGGUACUCACGUUCAUACGUUGUGUGGCGUGUACGCGCGUGCGAGUGACUCUCCGUGCCAUCUUGGCGUCAUCGGUGUUGGUUUGUUGGAACGAAAGUAAGUGGUGCUUUCCUCGGUACUCUUAGACGGAGAAGGAGAAAACCCAAAGGUGACCUUCUUCCGAUCUUCGUAUUGUGGUGCUACCCAGGAAAAAUGGCCUGAUCUGGUGUAGAAUGUAUCGUCGUAUAUAAAAAAAAAAAGAAUACGUGAUGCGUACUGCUGUACGACUCGUCAGCUUCUGACGUGAUCGCGUGCGUGCUUUCCUUUUGUCGUGCGUACCUUUUCACGCACGAUUCCUCGUCGUUUCAAGGAAGACUUCAUCAUCUCUUACUUAGGCGCUCAACGGUGCAAUUGUCGUUGUCACGAGUGAAAAAAAAAGCUAUGGCCAUUACUCGUCAUCAGAAGAGGAUGCAUAAAGAAGAGUGCGAUGUGAACGUGGAAAUAGUUCAUCUCACUUUUUGACUCUUUUCCCGCAAAGAGAUCGCGCACAUCGCAACGUUGCUUUUCACACAGCGUUGACUCUGCUGCCCGCAAACGAGAACGUUCAUUACCACGCCUGUCCAGUGCCUACUACGCCUCUCUUUGAUGGCAAUGCAGUGCGCGUGUAUCAGAACACGUCCGCUCACGCGUCAAUACAACCCCUUGCUCUUGCAGCACACCUCGGCUCGAAUGAACGUGAAGGAUUCGGCGUUUUGCUCCACGAUUCAAAAAAUAAGGUAAAGAAAGUGGGUGGAGAGAAACGAGGCGGCACGUCGGCCUUAGAGACGCGGAACCCAGAGGCACGAAAUAUACACAACCAAAGCCGUGCGCUUUGUUGCCGACAAGGCCAAUCAGGCCGCAGAUCAGAUGACGUCUUCAACGGUACGCACGUGUCCCCAAACAAGCCGUGUCUCGCCGGAUGAAAAAGAGAAAGCUUGUUGAGACGUCCAUCGGCUUCGAGCUGACAAGGGAGAGUGAGACUGGCCUCUUGUUGACAACAGUGGUGCGCUGUCCGGCAUAUGUUGUGUCCUGGUUUUCUGGUAUCUUUUACAUGGUUGGACUGAACCGCGACAGGUGGUAGUGAUCUAGAUGGUGAAGGGAUACGGACUGCACUUGAAUUAAAGGCAGACUUGCCGGGAAGCGAAAUACCAGCGCCUGUGCGAUAAACGAUGAAGCGUGCUGAAGAACAUACAUGAAAACGGCCCGAAAGACGUACCCACGACAUAGCCCGUUGGUUGUACGACGUCGUCAAGCACCAAAAUUGCCGAUGGUCAAUGAAGUACUAAAUAAAUAAAAACCAAACGGCAUACCUCACGGAAUGGUGAGUGUCAAAACAUGAAGGACCGGUGAACGGCCGGGCGAUCGUAAUUUUUUUUUUGCUUCGCUUUGCUGGCGCCGGCACGAGAAUACUGCGAUUGCCGAACCAUUGCUUUUUCCGCUUUUGUUAUAUCCGAACACUGACUCGUAAAGUACGACACUCCAUCAUCGUUCGCCCGGCCUACGAAAAAAACAAAAUUGAAAUACCGCAUUAUUGAAAGCGAAAUGUGGUAUCUAUCAAACUAAACGUGAAAGCACGUUGUGUGCGCAAGUGUACACUUCGAUUUCGCGCUUGGACGACCCCGAAACUUGAUGGAUAAAGGACAAAUUUAUCCGUAGAGGUCAUCAGCGCCAAAUAACAGCGGUGCGUUUUAUUUCGUUCGCGCACCAUUGAGCAACGGAAACUCUGCGUGCGGCGGACAGUUUUAUUAUUUAGCAGAGCCUUUGAGCGGUGACAAGAACAGCGGCGAUGACAUUGGUGUUGUAAAGAAAGACGUCAGCGUCAAGUAUGCAGCGCGGCUAGCAAUCUUCUUCCCAACACUGAGUGAAGGUCGGAGCUGAGGCGUCGAGAAAGGGAAGGAAACGAGUAGACAAUCCGGAAUUUCUUUCUGAUUCUUUCGCGCCGGUGCGGUGAGCGAAAAAAAAUUGCUGUUUACGUUUUCUCGAAGGAGAGUGAGAGAUUGAAGCAGCGAAGGAGGAGGGCUCGGCCAGCAGCUGUAAGCAGCCUAAGAUUCUUGCGUCGGCUUCGCGCGUGGACACACUCAGUCACCAGCUGACGAAACCACGGGGAGCUUCCGCACGAGCGCUUGUUGUGGAACAUAGCCGAGUGAAUCAGAGGACAGGGCCAGUGCGCGCUGACCUUGCUGGUACACGUUGUGGUGGCGUUGUUAUUGCUGGUGGAUUGCGGUGCUUGAUGGUUUGUGUGUUUUCGUGUCUCGUUGUUUGGCUUUGUGCGCUUCGUCUACAAAGCGUUUCGGUGUACCGAAGAUUUUUGUGAAACGCCGCGUCGUGUUAGCGGUAAGAACUGAGCUUGGCUCGGGCGCGCAAGGACGGCUGGGUCGUCGACUGAAUGUCCUUACCAUCGUGACAAGAGGUCUUGGUCGACGAGGGUGUACUCGCCUUGAGAAGCCCCGCUGCGGACGAAGGGCCGAGUUGCUUGCGCCAGUCCUGGGGGUCAUUCGGCCAACGACGAGUGAGACCACCCAAGAUAGGCGAUUUGCCGCGGCCUCCGUGCGUUGAAGACUGCGGUGAUGACGAACCCCUCCGUGGCAAGGUACAAGCGGCCGCGACAAGCGGCUCGCCACCCCGCUGUUGCGAGGAGCUGUUCGAGGGACUGAGCCUGGGCCACCUGAGCAACAGCGGAGUUGGCGCUGCCCUAGAGAGCUUCACCCACCGCGCAGCUCAGGCACCGAUACCCGUGGGAAGGAGCGGGCGAGGACCCCGUGCGAGAGGCGACCGUCGCCGCCGCUGUCAUGCCUGCACAGAGGCAGCCUCGCUUCUCCACAACCUCGUCUUCGUCGGCCGCCUCGACGCCAGAUGAAAUCAGCAGCGGCGCCGCUUCGUCCUUGUCGGCAGCCGAGGACUUUGAAAGGCUGUCGCUGUCGCCAUGCCGGCGUGUGUCGAGCCCGUUCCUGACGG
rnacentral:lncRNA from 1 species